AAGUAUCCCGGUUUAAGUCUCCUUAGGCGAGGAAGGCUUCUCUUUCUAGCAGGUCCAGAUAUCCUGAGUCUCCCGGAAACUGCAGGAGGGGACAGGACCCGACUUCGAGACUGUAGGGUGGGGUGAGGGGAUGAGGCCUCCUCCUCCUCCUCUUCUUCUUCUUCUUCUUCUUCUCCUCCUUCUUCUUCUUUCUCCUUCUCCUUCUCCUCCUCCUUCUCCUUCUUCACACUUGUCUGCCUCAUAGGCCAGCCUUGCCUGAUUUAUUUAACUGCAAGUUAGAAACUGGGAGAGAACCAACUUGGAGCUUUUUUGGUCUGGGAAAGAAAAUCCAAACCAUGCUUCUCUAGGGCCUCCUGACCUGGCUAAGCACCUUGGAGGGAACCCUGGCCACGAGGGAUCCAAGCACCGCUCUGGUUUCCCAGAAGCCUGUGGAUGACUCUCAUCUGGCGGUGGACCUCAGAUGGGGGUCAGCAGUGAAAGAGGGGAAGACAAAAAUCUGGCGAGCGAGCUGCCCGGGCCGAGACUGGCCACUUCAAACAGCCCUUCAAACAAAAGGAGACGACGAAAAGAAAGCCCCACCUGUCUCCAGUGUUUGCUAAAAUAAUAAUAAAUAGAUUUCGUUUAAUAAAUAAUUACAAG
rnacentral:lncRNA from 10 species